AAUUCCCAAGCAAAUUGCAGAUUGUUGCUUUCUUUUGCAAUCGCUACAAAAGCUUUUGCAAGAUUAAUUUGGUCACUGAGUUGCCUGGUGACUGAGUUAGGGCUAAGCAUUUCAUCAGUAAUGUUUAGGCCUUCCAUAAUCCUAUCAUGAUAGAAAGGUUUCUUCGCAUGGCUGUUCAAUCUGACUCUCUUUACUGAAAAUGAUUAUAAAGAACAAGACCACUAAACCACAAAUUGUCCACCACACCACAUUCGAAAGCCGCCUCCUUACCGGCCUUCGAAAGUCCAUUGGUCUCCGCCUCAUUCUCCAAUCUCAAACAGUCAAGAUUCCAGCUUUCUGUUUGUUUCCAGGGAAAGUUCAAAACUUUCCAGUAAAGUGAAACACAACUGAGGUUUUACCUAGCACAGAUCAAAUGAAAGUCGGAAUCGGGAUUCAUAUUCAAGCUAGGGUUUUUCUAGAUUUGGAAGCAUAUUAGAU
rnacentral:misc_RNA from 1 species